GCAGGGCUGAGGACCGUAUAAGUGAAAAAUAGUGGAAUGAAACCUCAGAACACGUUAUGACCUUCAGGAAGGUUUGGUUUGGACUAGGUUCUAGAAAUGGUCUGAGUUUUUUGGUUGCAGAUUUUUUUUUUUUCCAGAACACAUUUCGAGCCUCUUCAGAGAACUGUUCAUGGCCUCUGAGAGGCAUCUGAGGCCCUAACAAGCCUGACUUUGCUCCUUCCUGUAACCCCACCCCCAACAGUAACACUGGAUAAAAGAAGGAUGAUGUUAGAAUUUACUAUUAAAUGAAUGUCUUGUACCGGGAACUGACCAUCACUGCACUUAAUUUUUGUAAGUGUCCCGGUGAAGGAAGUGCUGUGCUCAUUAUGCUAUGAUGAAACCAAGAAAGACUCAGAAUAUUUCCUGUCUUGUCCAUGUUGUCAAGACAAUGGCAGUGUGGGAUUUGAACACUGAGAUGUUUGACUUCAGGGUAUGGGGCUCUGAAGCCCUGUGUUGGUCUCCCUUACUCCCUUUCUCCUUCCUUGUCUUUCUUUCUCCUUUCCCCACUUCUUCCUACUGCCUUCCUCUUCUCUCCUCCUGUCAUCUUUUCCUCCCCUCUCUCCUGCAUUCAGGAGAUAUUGCAGCUCAGACAGUGUAUCUGGAUUUCCUGAUGUAGGCAGAUUACCCUGUUGUGCUCUUUAGGAGAUGCAGGGAUGAAGAUGACACAUUAACAUCAACUGCGAUUGGAGCUGGGCAGUGACCCUGUCCUUCACGGGAUAUGUCCUUCAACCCACUCUUACUUAGGAAUACUCCCUCUCCUUUUGAUUUGUGGUACUCAAAAGUUCUGAUUCUUAGAUCCUAAUUAAUUGAGAAGAGAAGGGAGUAGAGGAAGAUACCUGUUGUGCACUGGUUGUUGUGGCUUCAUGUUUGUGACUGUCACUGUUUAUUUAAGGUAGGACAAUGUGGGACUGAAACUGAUUUCAUUCAUUCAGGGAUGGUGACACAAACCCAAGCCAGGCUAAUCAGAGGUCUCCACUGGACUCUCAGCACCAUUAUUAAUAAAGAUGCUUCCUGUUUUUCUUGGUAAUAGGCACUGCAAGGACAUAGUAGGCUUAGAGCUGCCAGCAAACAACUUGUCACCAUAUGAAGAAUGCCCAUCUGAAAAUGAAGCCAAUAAGAGGUGUCCAGAACUGAAAAAGAGAGAGAGAGGGGGAAAACUUCUUAAGAAAAUCAUUGGAAUGCUGGUUCUACCCAUACCUGAAGCCAACAUAUUAGUUAUAUGAGCCAAUAAAUUUCCAAUUUUGCUUAGAGCUGGCUUAAAGGGGCUUCAGUCACUUGGAAACAAAAUAUUCUAAGCUGGCACAGGCAGAAGGAGAUACAGUGACUAAAAGAUGAGAGGAGAGGAGUUCCCAUUGUGGCCCGAAGCAUUAAGAUUUCAAUUAGUAUUCGUGAGGAUGUGAGUUUGAUCCCUGGCCUCGCUCAUUGGGUUAAGGAUCAGGUGUCUCCACAAGCUGCAGUGUAGGUCACAGAUGCAGCUUGGAUGGGGUGUUCCUGUGGCUGUGGUGUAGGCCAACAGCUACGGCUCCAAUUCGACCCCUAGCCUGGGAACUUCCCUAUGCCACAUAUGUAGCCCUAAAAAGGAAAAACAAAACAGACCAAGACAAGCAUAAAAGAUGACAGGAGAGAGGAGUCUGGGCACAGACUUUCCUGUCUUGCCCCCUGGUUUAUAUCCAGCACCUAGAAAAAGACUUGGUACAUCAUAAGUACUCAGUAAAUAUUGUUUGAAUGAAAGAAAGAGAGAACUCAGGUUGGAUCAAGCAACUUGCAGAUCGUAUUUAUCUGUUUUAAGCUUAGACCAUUAUAGUGGUGUAUUUCACCAUUUGCCAUGUUUUAGUAUAUUUCUUUCUGUCUUCCCUUAGUUCUUAGUAAAGUUUCUUUUUAAAAAUUCAAGCUUGUUUAUUGUGAUAAAGGGCCAGAGAGGAGAAGCUUUCUCCGUCCUAAGCUGUAAAGAGGAUGGAAGCUGGGAACAGUAUAUGAGGUGAGGAGGGGGUUUAUGAUGCCCUGUGUGGAGAUGUGAAGCUGUGGGGAGAGAUGGUCUGAGACCGAGGGAGAAGCUCUCCCUUUCUCAUCUCUCCAGUAGAAGGUUUUGUGUUCUUUGUGGGGGUGAUUGUUUCCCUCAGUGAUUCCUACAUACUUGGUUUUCUCCCCCCCACCCCCCGCCUUUUUAAAAAUUUUCUGCUUCUCUCUCUUCUUUACGCUGUCUCUGUUUUUAUCAGGUAUUCGUUCCCUUCUCUCUCUGCUUCCUUUUUUCUUUCGUCCAUAUUGCCCAACCAUUAUUCCUCAGUUAUUGAUCUCAAAGCUACAUGACUUUCAAAGGCUGGUCCCUCUGGCUGUACCUCCCCAAGCUCAUUUAAGCCCUUCAGCCUCCCUCUGCCCCACCAUGAUUCCAAAUCUAGGAUAUGUCAUGGAAAAACGUGACAUGGAGGCAUGGGUCAUAGACUAAAAGGACAGAGCCCUUGAAGAAGGUGCCAAGGCUUGUCAACUCUCCAAUACCAUGCCAGUUGGCUCAGAGCCAAAAGGACUCACAUGGCCAGAGCAUUCUGCACAGCUUGCCACCAGCUGCCUCAAUAAAGAUCACCGCUGUCUACCAACUGGGCAAUUAGUUGGGGGCAGUGUGGGAGAACACAAAAGACAUGGUGGAUCUUACAGUGCAGAGAAGGGCUAAGGCAGAGCAAGGAGUGGAAUCCUUGGGGUCUCAUCUCAGAUUCACAUCCUAAUUUUCAUCUACAGAAGACUGGAUUUGGCCAAGUUGCUUAAUUUUUUUUUUUUGAGUCUUCAUUUCUUUGCUUGUAAAAGCUAGAUAAUUGUGAUAUUUACCUACUAGGGUUUUUGUGAGAAGAGAAGAUGCAAUAUAUUUAAAUUAUAUACUUAACAACGAACAAUUGACAGUUCUUUACCUCCUUCCCUAGCUGAAGAUAAAGGCAUAACUGUGCAACCCUUGUCUUUAAGAAGAAAUUACCUGCAGCCCCAACUGCCACCACCAAGAGAUCUGUGAUAGCUUCUUAGCUUUACAGCAGGGGUCACCAACUUGACAGCCUUAUACAGCCAGAUAAAUAAUGUAACCAAAGGAAAUUGUUAGGCUCACUCAGUUAAACAGGGAAAAAGGGAGUGGUGGAGACUGUGGCAAAUUGGAGAGUGUGUGUCUCAUCUAACAGGGAAAACUUAGCCAAAUCUGGAAAUGUGGAUCCAGAGUUGGCACAUCGUUUACCUGUUUUCAAGAAAUGCUGAAAGUCUGAAUUUUGAAAACUGAGAUCUGCUGAAUUUUACAAUGUUGUCAAAUUCAUUCAGAUUAAAAACAAUGACCAUUAUAGCAAGAAAACAUUGUGAUGGAUCAAAACACACACCUCUGUAAACCCACCACAGUCUGCUUCUUGGCUCUCUCUUUGGGAAUUACAGUUUAUCUGUUGGGACCCCUUUUGCUUGGUCUUCUGCUUACAGAAGCUGCUUCUUCACUAGUCUUCACAAGAAGACCACUGAUCUCACUGGGCAUUUAGUGUGAUGAGAUUUAGCCGGGAAAUUGAGGGUCACAGAAAAGUCACAUCACAACAUAUGUUUCUCAGUCGUUUUGAGCAUAGGCUUGGAAUCCCACAUCUGCUGCUUGCAAGUUGACUAAGUUAUAUACUCUCUUUCAGCCUCAGUUUCCUCAUCUACAAACAGGAGAACAUCAUAAUGUUUCCCUAGGGUUGUUGGAAGGAUUUCGUGGAAAACCAUGUGUAGAGCACCUGUUCAUUGCAGACACUAACAAAUGCAAGUUUCCUUCCUCCUUAAUUCUUCCCAUUCUUGGAGUUCCCAUUGUGGCUCAUCAGUAACGAAUCCAGCUAGUAUCCAUGAGGAUGCGGGUUUAAUCCCUGGCCUUGCUCAGUGCAUUAAGGAUCAGGAGUUGCCAUGAGCUGUGGUAUAGAUUGCAGAUGUAGCUCGGAUCCCACCUUACUGUGGCUGGGGUGUAGACUGGUAGCUGCAGCUCCGAUU
rnacentral:lncRNA from 1 species